rnacentral:tRNA from 1 species
GCAGGGGUAGCCAAGCUUGGCUAAAGGCGCAGAGCCCGCUGAGCCUGUCCCGUAGGGGUUCGUGGGUUCAAAUCCCACCCCCUGCA